rnacentral:rRNA from 1 species
UACGUAGGGUGCAAGCAUUAAUCGGAUUUAUUGGGCGUAAAGGGCGCGUAGGCGGGAAUGAAAGUCAGACGUGAAAUCCCGGGGCUCAACCCCGGAACAGCAUUUGAAACUCCAUUUCUAGAGGGUAGGCGGAGAAAACGGAAUUCCACAAGUAGCGGUGAAAUGCGUAGAUAUGUGGAAGAACACCGGUGGCGAAGGCGGUUUUCUAGCUUACACCUGACGCUGAGGCGCGAAAGCAAGGGGAGCAAACAGG